UGGGGAAUCUUGCGCAAUGGGCGAAAGCCUGACGCAGCGACGCCGCGUGGGGGAUGACGGCCUUCGGGUUGUAAACCCCUUUCAUGUGGGAAGAAUAAUGACUUAACCACAGGAAGAAGCACCGGCUAACUCAGUGCCAGCAGCUGCGGUAAUACUGAGGGUGCAAACGUUGUUCGGAUUCACUGGGCGUAAAGCGCGCGUAGGCGGUUCGGCAAAUCGGUUGUGAAAUCCUCCCGCCCAACGGGAGAAUGGCUGCCGAAAAUACCGGACUGGAGGUCGUCAGGGGCAAGUGGAACUCUUGGUGGAGCGGUGGAAUGCGUAGAUAUCAAGAGGAACGCCGGAGGCGAAAGCGACUUGCUGGGGCGAUUCUGACGCUGAGGUGCGAAAGCUAGGGGAGCAAACAGG
rnacentral:rRNA from 1 species